rnacentral:rRNA from 1 species
GAUGAACGCUGGCGGCGUGCCUAAUACAUGCAAGUCGAGCGAACAGAAGAGGAGCUUGCUCCUCUGACGUUAGCGGCGGACGGGUGAGUAACACGUGGAUAACCUACAUAUAAGACUGGGAUAACUUCGGGAAACCGGAGCUAAUACCGGAUAAUAUAUUGAACCGCAUGGUUCAAUAGUGAAAGACGGUUUUGCUGUCACUUAUAGAUGGACCCGCGCCGCAUUAGCUAGUUGGUAAGGUAACGGCUUACCAAGGCGACGAUGCGUAGCCGAACUGUGAGAGUGUGCGGCCACACUGGAACUGAGACACGGUCCAGACUCCUACGGGAGGCAGCAGUAGGGAAUCUUCCGCGAUGGGCGAAAGCCUGACGGAGCAACGCCGCGUGAGUGAUGAAGUUCUUCUGAGCGUAAAACUCUUUUAUUUGGGAAGAACAAAUGUGUAAGUAACUAGGCACGUCUUGACGGUACCUAAGCAGAAAGCCACGGCUAACUACGUG